GGCUGCUCCCGUGGCACAUGGAGGUUCCCAGGCUAGGGGUCGAAUCGGAGCUAUAGUCACCGGCCUACGCCAGAGCCACAGCAACGCGGGAUCCGAGCCACGACUGCGACCUACACCACAGCUCACAGCAACGCCGGACGUUAACCCACUGAGCAAGGCCAGGGAUCGAACCCACAACCUCGUGGUUCCUUGUCAGAUUCGUUAACCACUGAGCCAUGAUGGGAACUCCAAUAAAAAUUUUUUAAAAAUAAAAAAAAUUAAAAAGAAAUUGGCUUUAAUGAAAUUAACCCUCCUCUCCAAGAGUGAAAGAAAAAGGAAAGAAAGGAGAGAGACAGAGACAGAGAGGGAGAUAGAAACAGACAGAGAGACAGAGAGAGAGAGAGAAGCUAUGAAAGUGAAUGAGUAGGACAUAAACUAAAAUGGUUUCAUAAAGAUAUCAAUAUGUAACUCAGAAACCAAGUCCAGAUGGUGUUCCCAAUUCAUCUUAGAAACUGGUCCACACUGAACCCACGCUACCUUGGAUGAAAGGGGAUUAGAACAUGUCUUCUCAUUUCCAGGCAAAUGCAUAUCAAAGGGUUUUUUGGGCAACUUAGACUUAAAGCAAAGACUUGAAAUCUAUUUACAGAGAUCACAGAGGCACACUGAAACUAAGUGUUAAAAUGUGUCUUCAAGGUAAAGAUAAUAAGAAGGGUGUUGCUGUUCUAACCUAUGUUUCCUUACAAAACUCUGUGCUCUGCAAAACCGUUUACUAAAGGAACUAAGUUUACACACAACAUGGUAAAUCAACCCCAUUGCAGUAAAAAUCUGUUUCAAAAAGGAACUGAGUUUGUGUAGAAAUAAGGUUGGCGCAGGCCACACAAAAUGAUGCAAACUUUGUAAUCAGAGUGGUAUCCAAACAAAACUUGGUUGCUGGAACAAUGAACUCAAGGGCUCAGUUAGACAGCUCUCUGGGAGUCUAGAAAAUGCCAUAGCAAACAGAGUGGCAGCAUCUGUGGCAACACUGACAUCAGAGCUGGCAGGGCCAAGGCAGCACAGGUGUGGGGUCUGUGGGCUGCCAUGAAGGUUGUCCCCCAGGCCCUGUUCCUGCCCCCAGCUGAGAGCCACGGGGCUGGGCUUCCCUUCUGGGGGUGGGGCUCCCAGAGGCCCAUGUUGUUGGUUUUCUUAAAGCCACAGUUUAUAAGUUCCUGGUCCUAGUACAGUAAUCAGGCUGUUUUCUUUCUUUCUUUUUUUUUUUUUUCAUUUCCCUCUUAGGGCCGCACCUGCAGCAUAUGGACGUUCCCAGGCUAAAGGUCCAAUCGGAGCUGCAGCUGCUGGCCUAUGCCACAGCCACUCCGGAUCCGAGCCGCAUUUGUGACCUAUGCCACACUGAGCGAGGCCAGGGAUCUAACUCACAUCCUUGCGGACACUAGGUCAGGUUCUGAACCUACUGAGCCACAACAGGAACUCCUCUUUUUCCUUUUCUGCUGAAAGUUAUAAUUCUAUCUCUGUGAUAACACUUGCCCCUUGCCCAUGAACCUGAGCAAUUUCCGGGUCCUGCUAACCUCAUUUCCUGUUGAUCAAUUGCAUGUGAGUUAACUUGCCUUGCAGGUUAUCUCAUGAGACCAGGGUGGUGUUAAGAAACUGAAUACUUUUUCUUUUAGAAAAAUUACAAAGCAACUUGCUGAGAAACAGGUUGCUUUGGACUAUGGGAAACAGAGCUACUGUUUGAAUUAAAGUGGUGGGGAUCUUGGAAGGAAUGAAGAAAUAAGCACAAGAAUGAGAUCGAUGGAGGCAAAAAUCAUAGUAAUCACAGUAGUGAGGCCUCCUGCUUAGACAACAUCUAACACAGUGGGCUCUCCACAUACACAGAAUCGACCAACUGCAGAUCAAAAAUAUUCUGAGAAAGGAAUUUCUGUGGCUCAGCAGGUUAUGGAUCCUGUGUUACGUCAUCUAGAGGGGACUGAUUUAAAAUAAACAAGAAGAUAUGCCUAAAUUACAGGCAAAUAGUGUGUCAUUUUAUAUAAGGGGCUUGAGCAUCCCUGGAGUUUGGUAUCAGUGGAGGGUCCUGAAACCAAUCCCCAGAGAUGCUGAGGGAUGACUAAAGGGAUCUUUCUGGGGAUCUUUGUGGGUCCUAAAAUUAGCAUUUUCCCAAUUUCCUUCUCUCCUGGGGAGGUCAGGGGUGGAGGGAAUACGAAAUGAGUAAAUAAAAUGAAAUAGGACAGGCUGUUGAAGAGGAUUCAGCCUCAGGAUUUGAGCAUCGAGGGAGGAGACGCCUCCCCACCCCCCACCCCUUCAGCUCCAGUUACAGGCCUAGGAACCUGAGGAACAAAGAGACUUUGGGCUUAACAUCCACGGGUCUCUGUUCACUCUUUUUACCCUCAAUCUGUUUCCAGCUGUUUCCAGCUUCAAAAGGAUUAACAGAUUGAGGUCUACUCCAGGAGCUGGAGAGUAGGAGGGUAUUUAUGGCUGAUCCCAAGGCUUAGCCAUGGAAACCUUGACCCCAAGAAACAGGUGGGCGCGGUGCAGAGCAAAGCAGUGGGACAAACCCAAGAAUUCUUGGGGAAAGAAGAAUUAGUUGACCUCAGACAAAGAAGCAGCCCAGGGUACUGCUAUCUGGAGGCUGAGCCCCUACAGCGACACCCGCCCCCCUUCAGGGGCAGCCCCUUCCCCAGGAAUGGCUCACUGUAACCUGGGAGAGGUCCCCGUUUCCAUCAUCCAAGAAGUGGGGGGCAACCGAGGAGCCCAAGAGUCUGUGCUCUUGGAAAAGAAACUCUGAACUCCUCAUGAAAAUGGGCAGGUGUUUUCCAAAGGAAAUUUUAGGGUGUAUAAAGACAAAUCAUGUCACAGUAGGAACAUGCCAGGUACCACUUUUAGCUCCAUAUGGUAAAUGAUGAGGCCACUGGGAAAGAGAAAGAAGGAGGCAACAGGAAAGAUUGGAACUCACAUUUAUCGGAUGUGAUUCUCAAGCCACCAACGUUGACGUUUGGCCGCGCAUCCAGGGUGGGGCUCAGGAAGUUCAUGUUCACUAAACUGGGCGAUGGGAGGCAAGAAGUACCAACCGAGGUCUCAAAUGGGAGACUGGCAUUCAGGAAAUGGGAGCUACCAGAGGGGUGGGGUUUCACGUAGGUAUUUCCCCAGGUGCAUCUCCCAUCCCAAGCAUUGGACUCACCUGGGGUUCUAGUUAACAGGACCAACACCCCAGCUCUUCCCCAGACCUACUAACCCACAACUUCUGGUGGUGAGGCCCAGGAUUCUGCAUUUUAACAACCACUCCCAAAUUUGCCCAUCCUUCUACAUAUUAAUAUCGGAGAACAAGUGGUUUAGGCUUUGUUAUCUGGAAAUCUGGGUGCCUGGCUGAUAAAUGGGAACAAUGAUCCAAUUAGGUCCCAGGACUCUGAAGACUGAACAUCCGUGAACAGACCAUGCAUGGUGUUAUAAAUGACUAGAUCUCAUUGACAGUGUCCCUAUAACACACUUGCUCGUGUGCCGCCUGGUAACUAGGCAUGUCUGUGACUCCGUUUACCCACAUGAUUGCAGUUUAUGUUGUUUUAAAACAUUUCAAGCCAGGGAGUUCCCAUUGUGGCUCAGAGGGUUAAGACUCUGACAUAGGGUCUGUGAGGAUGUGUAUUCUAUCCCUGGCCACUCAGUGGGUUAAAGAUCCAGCACUGCCGUGAGCUGUGGUGUAGGUCACAGACUCAACUUGCAUUUGGCAUUGCUGUGGCUGUGGCUGCAGCUAUGGCUGGCAGCUGCAGCUCCAAUUCAGCACCUAGCCUGGGAACUUCCAUAUGUGCAGGAAUGGCUGUAAAAAGACAAAAAAAAAAAAAAAAUCAGGCCAAGAUUCCUUUUCUUUUCUUUCCUUCCUUCCUUCCUUCCUUCCUUCCUUCCUUCCUUCCUUC
rnacentral:lncRNA from 1 species